GGUANCAGGAUUUAGUUUACUAGAUUGCUGACGACCGGCGCACGGGUGAGUAACGCGUAUACAUUUGCCUUUUACUGAAGAAUAGCCCAGAGAAAUUUGGAUUAAUGCUUCAUAGUAUUAUUUGGUCACCUGGCCGAGUAAUUAAAGCUCCGGCGGUAAAAGAUGAGUAUGCGUCCUAUUAGCUAGAUGGUAAGGUAACGGCUUACCAUGGCGACGAUAGGUAGGGGUCCUGAGAGGGAGAUCCCCCACACUGGUACUGAGACACGGACCAGACUCCUACGGGAGGCAGCAGUGAGGAAUAUUGGGCAAUGGAGGCAACUCUGACCCAGCCAUGCCGCGUGCAGGAAGACUGCCCUAUGGGUUGUAAACUGCUUUUAUACAGGAAGAAACUUACCCACGUGUGGGUAACUGACGGUACUGUAAGAAUAAGGACCGGCUAACUCCGUGCCAGCNGCCGCGGUAAUACGGAGGGUCCAAGCGUUAUCCGGAAUCAUUGGGCGUANAGGGAGCGCAGGCGGGUUAAUAAGUGUCUUGUGAAAGCCUAUGGCUUAACCAUAGAACUGCAAGACAAACUGUUAACCUGGGAGUUUAGAAGAGGUAACUGGAAUUGGUGGUGUAGGGGGUAAAAUCCGUAGAGAUCACCAGGAAUGCCAACGNGAAAGCAAGUUACUGGGAUAAUACUGACGCUGAGGCACGAAAGCGUGGGGGAGCAAACAGGAUUA
rnacentral:rRNA from 1 species